CCCGAGACUCGAAUCCGGAUCCUCCAGAGUGGAAAGCCGAAGCGUUUCCACGCGGCCAAUCCAGCCGACUGUAGCAAAGUAUUACUGUAAAACAUAAUUCAUAUUUUCUAUAUAUAUGUUACGGCCAAUGCUCGAUUCUAGCCAGUUCGCGAAGUGGCUGGCCACUUCUAGAUUUGGCCGAAUCAUUUGGCCAAAACCCAAAUUAUACGAGAAUUUACGACUAUUUCGGGGUUUGGACGGUCAAUUCGCGAUACGCCCCACCAAUCAAUUGCUUAUUCAAGAAAAAGUGGCCAAAGCUACAAAUUUAGCAGAGCUAAGUAACGGAGUGCAUUGAUGCGUCACAUAUUGGUCUUACAUAUGGCCUUACAAUACUGAUGGAAGAGAUUAUAGAACCAUCCACAUAUAGAAGUUAUCCACCCAUUAAUAUGAAUAGGAUUGUCUCUCAGAGUAAGGAAAAGGGUAGAGAGGCCUUUUCCUUAACCAAUUUCUG
rnacentral:lncRNA from 1 species